CGUGGGCGCUGGAAAUUUGAGAGGAUCUGCUCCUAGUACGAGAGGACCAGAGUGGACGAACCUCUGGUGUACCGGUUGUGACGCCAGUCGCAUCGCCGGGUAGCUAUGUUCGGAAGGGAUAACCGCUGAAAGCAUCUAAGCGGGAAGCCUACCUCAAGAUAAGAUUUCCCUAGGACUUUAUGUCCUCUAAAGAGCCGUUCGAGACUAGGACGUUGAUAGGUUGGAUGUGGAAGCAUAGUGAUAUGUGAAGCUGACCAAUACUAAUUGCUCGUGAGGCUUGACUAUACAACACCCAAGCAGUUG
rnacentral:rRNA from 1 species